rnacentral:lncRNA from 1 species
AGAGCUGCAUCAUCAAGCGGUACUGCGAGAAGAGGUUCGUGCCCAAGUACCUGGCCACCAUCGGCAUCGACUACGGCGUCACCAAGUGCGGAACGAGUUCUACAAGGACACGCAGGGGGUGCUGCUGGUGUACGACGUGGGCUCCAAGGAAUCCUUCG